UUUGCUCUUGCAUAGUGAUUCCUGUAUUCAGCUGUGGAAUUUUACUCUUCCUCCUGGAAAAAGCCAGCAUUGAUCUAGCAAGCAUCGGGGAGUGACCCUACUGUAGAUGUAUGUGCAUCUCCUGUGCAUGGCAGAGGAACCUUUAACCUGAUGAGUGCUGGCUGUGUGUUCUAUGUCUCUUCAUGCUUUCAAACAAAGGUGAAAGAAGUGGGAUCUAUCCACUCUUUGUUCCUUCAUAACUCUGAUCUGAAGUUCAUGGAAGGAACAAGAAAGUGAGAACAGAGUGUGAGCCAUGAACUCCACAUUGAUGACAUCUGGAAGAACUGCAGCAGCUUUAAGAUAAGUAACUUCUUUCCAUGUUCCCAUGCCAGUUUGUAUCCACACAAACCGAUAUUGCCUUCACAGUGGUGCAAAUAAUGAACAUUUGAUGCAUCAGCAAGUCAUUGCAUUAAUGCUCAUCUGAUCUGGCAGUGUGACUAAUGGCGAAGUUCAAAGUAUAAAAUCCUUUCAAAGGCCAGUGGCCUAGAUCAGAUAUCUGCCUUGCCAGUUUUUCAUAUUGACACUCAUCUAGAUAAGAAAGAAGAUGCCCCUGAACUUUGAAGUCUAGUGGAAGGCAUGUGCCAGGCAGCAGAUAAUGCAAGGAGACGUUCCUGUCAUCUGUUUUUGACUCUGGGAUAAAAUAGCCAGGCUGUAGUCAAAAAGAGAAAAGACUGCUUUCUGAAUGAUUGUUUUGCCAACAUAGUAAGCAAGUUAUUUUGCCUACAAACAGCUAGUGUCUUUCCAGCUGAUUGAGUAUCUUGCUUGUGAUUUUCUGAUUUGCAGAGAGCAAUCCUUAUCCAUAGUAGUAAGGCUGAGAGCUGUCGUGAUCCCAGGCGCUUUAUUUAAGCUACCUCUGGAGUACUUCAUAAUGAUGGUGUGAGUUUAGGUCCUUGUCUGAGGGCUAGAUCAGAGGCUGUAUGAGUCUAUAUUUACUAUUAAUAUAUCCGUAUCAAGUCUGUCAGCCAGAAGUAUCAUGGCCAGUCAUAAGCUGUAAGAGCAAUGCUGGCUUUGUACCUCUGGUUUUAUGGAAAGGAUACUGGAGAGCACUGGAUUUGAUGGAAUGUCAUAAACCAGUGUCUAGGAGCAAAGUUGAAGGAAGUCAUCUGACUUAAUAGGCUGCCGCAACAGAUUCAGUAUUGUCCGCACACUGGCCCUCUACAAAGGGAGUUUUCAUUGUGGAAUAUUAUACAUGUUAAAAGUGAGUCCUAUCAAAAUCAUUUUAUCUUCACUUAAAUAGUGCUUGGCAAGGCAAUACAAAGAGUAGUUCAGCAGAUAUAGUUUGAGCUUGGUAUCUAUUGACUGAGCCACGCAGGAAAAAAACUUCAUGUAAUCUGGCACUUGUAGGAUGAGCAAACGGUCAAGAAAGAAAAAUGUGAUCACUAAGGAAUAUGACAAAAGCUGGGAAAGAAGACUGUUCAGUGCUGCACAAAUGGAUGGAAAUUUGCAAAUAUUCCCACCAGCAUUUAUUUCAGAUACAGAGUAAGACCAUCCAGCAGAUUCAGCCCUACCUGUCUAGUUUUGCCUCAGCAGAUGUAACUAAUUGUGAACACACUUGCAAGCAGUGUUUUCUUGAAGAGCUACUGGGUAUUUCUGCAUAAAAAAGGAAUCAGGCUGACUAAUGGUAUUCAAAUGGAUGUCACCUCCAGAAUAAAUACUGCAGUGAACGAGAGUAAGCAAAACAUCUGUGGAGCCACCACAAGGCUGCAGAGGCAGGACAACUCAUUGAUGUCCCAGAAUGCAGCUCUGACUUGCUGCUUUCAGAGAACAAAAGCAUAGUACCAAGGGCAGCACAAGCUGUUUAGAUGUAUCCUUCCAGUCGGCUGACAUGAGAGGUGCUGCAGUACCAAGGAACGGUAAUCUCUCAGAGUCCCAUCCAAGUGGAUUUUCGGUAAAUGCAACCUGUACCUGGAUUUUUCAUCUGCCAGAAGCAAGAUUUUGUAGGCAAGGUGCUGAAACCAGAAUGGGACUCAAUGUGUGCUGGCAGCCAUUUGAGUGCAGAUAGCAAGGAGAAAGACAGCAGAAACAGCAGCUGUCUUGGAAAAGCUGGAGGAGACCACACCGGCAUGACACACACCAGAGCCUCCUGGGGAAGCUGGACCCAAGAAGAAGGCAUAAGUCAUGCAACAAAUGGAGAACUCCGAAGUAGGAGCUUGAUCUUAGCAGAAAGCAGUUCUGGCGAAAGGAUGAAAGCCACUUUGGCCUAUAAGUACCACUGAAGAUAAAAUAUUUGUUUAUCCUUCGGAUCUACUUUCUCAUUAUCAGCACUCUGUCUUUUCACAUUGAACUGUAUCUAUCUCCAGACACAGCCCAUAUUGAUGCUAUUUAGGGCCAUAAUAGCAUAAAAUACUGAUAAAUCUGCUGGAUAAUAAACAGCAACAACCUACUUUAUAUCAAUGCAAUUGAAGAUCUCACAGUCUGUUUCAAAAUGAAACCACCCAUAAAGCACUCUGCACUCUCCAGGAGUAGAAACUGAUAAGCUUUACCCAAAAUUUAUCAAAGCCUCGAGUACAGGACUAUGAUACUGUGCUGUACUUUGUGUAGGUGUCCAUGAUUGAAGAACAACUUUCUGUUUUAAACAGACAAUUUGACAAAUCAGCAAUACCCAUUUAAAAUAUCUCCGGUUCUUAGACUGAUGCUGACCCAUUUCAAUACUCGAUGAAAGCAGUUCUUGUUAUAGACCACUCAAAUCUAUUGUACAAAUAUGAAAAACAGAAGCAGUAUCUCUCUCAUCUAUAGAAGUACCUAAAGCAUUAGGACUCUGAUCCAUGCUGAAGAUGCCUAAAUAUUUUAGUACUUUAAAUAACAAAGAACAAGAGUUAUCAGGUACUUUCAAAACUGUAGGUUAUAGUACAAAUCAGAUUCCUAGCAAUUUAUUCAAAUUUUAAAAAUCAUAAAAGAUUUAUUGAAAUGUUUAAAAUAAAAGUUUAUGUUCUUCAAUAAACUGUCUGCAAGAUCUAAGCACAAAACUCCACACACAAAUUCCCUCUCUCCCUGUUCAAUAAUUGUUUGCCAUGAGUAUGAAUUAUGCAAGUUUUCAAAAGCUGUAUUUGCACAUGUGAUGCUAGAGUAAAUAGGCAUUAUUUCUACACCUUUAGUAUUAAUGGAACUUUCAAUAAAAUUACAUCCUGUUUUAGUACUACUAUUUACAAUUUGUUUUGUAACAUCAGAACAUUUUUGUCUUGUUUUGUAAAUUAGUCUUCAUGGAUUAGCACAGCCAUCUGGCUAAAGUGCUUUAGAGAUCGGCUUUGCUGAGUUCACCCUACAAUACCGUUUCUCUUUGAUUACAGUUAUUAGUUAUGGCUGAAUAUAGACUGAUGCUACCAGAAACUGGCACGCUGGGGUUGGAACAGGCUUCAAAGGUUAUGUUCUGGACCUUUCUUUAGAUUUGCUCUGAAGAACAUAUUUGGGUUUAUAAUACCAAUGUUUGGAAAAGCACUGUUUCUCAAUAACUGUGUUUUUUAAGAAGCUGGGACACAAGCCAACUGCAAGUGGACACUGAGAUUAUUCAGGGACUUGCGGCAGACAGUGCUGAUCAGUCAGAGUCAGAAGCUGAAUGAAACAGGCCUCUGUGGGAUAUUUGGCUCUGAAUGAUUUUUGAACUAUGGGAUGUGAUACCGGGAGCAGUGGUACAAAUGCUGAAAAUAACCUCAGUAAAGGGAUGGAGCAGUUAAAGCUCUGCAGGAGAGUGAAGUGCAGAGGACAGCUGGGGAAGUUUAAGUCAGUGGAUGAUAGCAAAACAGGAUGAUUGGUCAAAAAGUAUCUUUAUUUUGGGUAACAAUGCAUCUGAAACAUUGCACAAUUUUAAUAGCUUCCAGUUAGCUCAAGCAGAAAAAGCUAACUAUAAAACUUAUAGGAAUGUGGUAUUACAGCAUCUAGAAAUAAAACAUGAAAAAUACAUUACUGAUCAUUUAGGGUUGCUCAGACUGCCUAAGCUUAGUCUUAUAAAUUAGGUAGCUAAAUUAGAGGGAUAGUCUGCAUAGAUUAUUACUGGAAAGAGAGAGGAAGGGAAGGGCUGGCAGUAGGAGGCUCCUCCAAAGAGUUAAUUCAGAGCAGCAGGUAGUUUAAAUGCUGUAGUUAUCCUCCGAGGGAAUUCCUCUCUCUCUUCAUUGACUGUAUAGGAAGCUGUAGGGCACAAGCCUUCUAACAUAGUAAUCUGAAGUAAGGUAUGUAAAUAUCCACCAAAUAGUACAGAAAGGCUUUAGGAAAACAGAGUCUGCAGUCAAAGAGGGAAGAGAGAGAUUGAUAACUUUGGGAGGGUAAUUCAUCACCUAUUAAAGACCACAUCAGGAUAGGGACAUGGGACAAAAAUCUGAGAGAGUGUGCAUGAGAAUGCAACAGGCAGGCUAAAAUUAAUCCAUAACAAAGCAACCAGAAUUUGCUAACGAAAGAAGAUUUUGUUCAGAACAACCAUUGUAGAGAAUAGAAAAACUCGGAUGUUGCAAUACAGGUGAAAGAAACAUGAGGCGGGAAGACGUGUGGAGGUCAAAGUAAGCCAGCAAACAACUAGCACAUGCUGUGGUAAAUAACACAAGCUAAGCAUGACUUGCUAGUCAUGAUAUGAGAUAGGGGAACUUCAGUGAACUAUAUCAUUUUGCAACGAUUUGCAAGAUCCUGCUGGUGUACCUACAGUGAUACAGAAGGACAACAGCACCCUUAGUUCAGAAAAAAAUUACCAUCACUGCAAAAGUCUGUACUUGGGGUAGUAGAUGGAGACCUGACAGUAGACAGGAUACUUCUUUGUCCAUUUUAAUUAGACAAAGGUGUACAAGACAGUAUAGUGCCUUAAAAAGUAAUGGGGCACUGAAAGAAAUACUGUCAGCAGUUAAAGAAAUGACUUUAAGCCCUUACCUCUGUCUCCAUGAGAUAUGUAAUUUGCAACAGUAUUAUAUUUAAUGUACCCAUUACUGACUUAAAAAUUACUACAAGUUCUUGCUCUCAUUCAGAGGCUGAUCACAGAUGAUGUUCAGGAAAACAGAACAACUGAGGAAUUAUUCAAGAUUAUCUUCCAAGGCAAAGGGAAGCUUUUUGCAGAACAGAGCUUAAAGGGUUGUGCUCUCUGCUACUCCAGAAAAAGGCCAUGAUAAAGCAUAAGCUAAAAUAAUGUCUGCAAUGUUUUUUCUGCAGGGAGCUGUAGGGCAAAUGGAGGGAAUAUUUUUCCACACUUAAAGAAAAAAUGAAACACUUCAUUGAAUUAAUCUUUCACAACAGCAAAAAAACCAGUAAAUAAAUACUUAAAAGGGACUUUUUUUCUACUGUUUACAAAGGAAGAUUUCCUAGGUGAAAUGACUGAUGCCAAACAUUUUUCUCUCUUUUUUUUUGUACCUAUAAGGAUCUCUCAAAUUCUGUUAGCAGCAUACAUAUUAGCACACACUUAAAUACCUCUUUAUAGGACAUUCACCACACACCCGUCACACUUGUUUUGUUUGGCAUGAGGUAUUUCACCACAAAGUGCCACAGAUUGGUUUUGAUGUAGAGUACAAAAGUUUGCAUAGAGGAUGGCUUUGGUAAAAGACUCACCUGAAAAUUGGGGUAGCAAUAUGAUUAAUCGAGCCCAAGCUGGGCAAACACAAAUGUGAGCACAUGAUAAUAAAAUUAGCAUACCAGAAUUAGCAAAUGCCAUAACAUACAUAGAUAUUCCCUCAGGUACUGGUCUUCACCAAGAAUUCUUUCUGACAGAGAAGGGGUGCAAGGAGUCAUUAGAAAAGCAAUUGCUGUUGAAAAACUCAUGCUUAACUUAUUAUGCCUGUAUAAAAAAAACCCAAAUGCAAACAAACAAACCAAAAAAAAACAAACAACAAAAUACCGAGCCUGGUUAUUUCCAUUUAUCAUGGAAAUACGUUAAAUGCAUCACUCUUUCUGCUAAUCUGUAAUCUAGUAACUUCUGAAACAGUUGGCUGGUCUCAACUAACUCUGACAAAGGAGCAGUUGUCUCAAAGGUAUCAAGUUAUUACAUAAGUUUUUUGUAACUGGGUACUCACAUGAAGAAGAGAGACAGUAGUCCCUUCACUGAAGAAAGAUUGCAGCUUGAACUCAGCCUUGAUUAGACACCAGAUAAACUGCAUGAGGGACAUUAUGAAUGCUCCAGUCAAAAGAAAAGCCUCAUUGAGAGGCAGCAGAUUAUUAAACACCUGAGAAUCCAGCCACAAGACAAAUCCAUAGGCUUCAUUUAGGUGCCAGUACUCACUGAAACUGCUCAUUAACGACUUCCUGCCACAGCAGCCAAAAGCAGCUUCACAAGCAGAUAUUUUUUUUCCAACUACCAAAAUAUGAUUUGCAAAUUGAAUACAAAACUGGGAGUGGCCUGAUGUUAAAAAAAACCCCACAACACAACUUUCUGAUCAUUUGAUAAAGGGAUGUUAAAACAAGAUCGAGGGCUAAGCUACCUACAUGCCAACAGCUUAAAAAGGGAAUUGGAUUCUUACAAAAUGCAGGUUUUGGCUCACAGAGUUCUUACUAAAAAUGAGUUUCCAUAACAGUAAUUUAGACUAAUGUACAGGACACCAUAUUUCCAGUCACCACUUAAUCCAAAGGCCUCAGUAAUAAGAGAAGGGAGGCACUGGAUUCUGAAGACACUAUGGAGACAAGAAAAAACUCCUAAAAAACCCUCUGCAGGUCAUUUAGGGAUUCUAAAAACUAUCUGGAGGUCAUUCAGGGAUUUAGAAAUCUCUGGGAAGAGACAGAUGUUUUCUACUGGCCUUAAACGAACGUUGACAUUAAAGUAGUUGUUAGAGCUCUGAGAAAUACAGAGCAAGUCAAGUGAAGGAACCCAUGGUGAUAGCACAUGAAAAAUAGGUUUCCUCAAGCAAGAGAUAAAGUCCUGUGCUCUUUCAUGGGCAUGCCAAUCUUUUUCUAGUUUGGUUUUGUCUUCUCCUCAGUCUAAAAUGGUAACUAAUUUAAUGGUAACUAAUUUAAAUGAUUCUCUUUGUAAACAGAAUUUCUGAAUCACUAAGAGACAGGGAAAUGGCAUUUUCUAUGCUGAAAGUGAGAGGUGUGCAUGUAUGGCUUUGUAGCUACACUUCUUUCUUUUCUUUAAACUUUUGUAAGAGCUGCCAAGUGCAAACGUAUUUUAGCCAAGAGAGUCUUUAAAAAGAUGCUGUCUAAUGGAUGUUGCACUGAGGGUUUGGAAGAUGCCAAGAAUUGUCAGUUCUCAAACACUUUUUUUUCCGUCUACAAGAAUUGAUAUAGAGCUAGAAAAGUGAAUGGAAUCAUAAACCAGACAUUUUCUUUUUAACCUUGGACUACACAAUAAUGAUGGGUUUACAAUGGACAGGCUCUGACUUUAGUGACUUGCACGUGACUCACACAGACUGCAGCAAAACACACUGGAAUUCUUUCAGAGCAGUACAGCUUUCCCACAAAAAACUGCAGAUUGCAAAAACAGUCUACAGAAAUUACUGUUUUUCUUGCUAAGCUGUAAGACACACAAAGUGGCCUCUGAGAAUAUGAAUACAUUAUCUGACUUCUACUUUUGUAACAUUUAUUUUAGGAAAGCUUUUUACUUAUCUAUUUGUUCUCUUCCCAGCUAUGGUUGACUGUAAAUGAACCAUAAUUUUGAGAGAUUUUCAUAUAGAAUACUCAUUUCUGCAUAUCCAUUUUGCUUUUUGAGAAAUGUGAGUAAUUUUUUUGGUUUGUAAAAUUAAAAACAAAAUGCUGGUCCACUUGGUUUGGAUUUUGCCUUAAUUUCUGACCAAUUUUACAUGCUUUCACUUGUAGCACUAGAGGCUAUUAAGAUCUUUCGAUACCUUCAGGCAGGCGUUCUCAAACACUUGUCAAGCUUGAAAUCAAGUUCAAAAGAAAGCAAAUGCAAAGUAAAUUAAAUAAUAGAGAAGUCUUUUUUAUGGUUUUGAUGAUCUUGAAUCAAGAGAUUAUGUUCUUUGUAAAGUAUUGCAUUCAUUUAUGUAUUAUGUGGUUAACAUACAGAGCUUUCUCAGAAGAGUCUCCACAUAUCUUUUUCAUACAGUUUUCUUCAUAUUUUAUCUUUAUUCCCUUUCUUCCUGCAGUCUUUCACAAGAGAAAAAAAUCAGGUCAUAAUUAUCUUCUUUAAUUAUCAGGGAACAUAACUUUUUCAUUGCUUCUCCUUCUAUUUCUAAACUUGCAUGUACUGUUUUGUUUGUCUUUUUCGCCUCCUCUGCACUGCCUUGGUUUCAUAAAUCCUUAGCUCACUACUGACUGCUCCAAGUAGUUUCCCAAAUUGCACAGGCAAACAACCUCUUUCUGCUUCUGCAAAUGCACCUCCCAAAAUCCUUGCAGGUUUUUUUCUCUUCACUAAUGUUUUUUUCAUGCUGCACAGUAGAUUCAUGCCUGUAAUAUAGAGGCACUGCAGUACCAAUAAGCUGCAAAUGAGGUCCAACACAUAAAAACACAAGACUAAUCCUAUACCUUGGGAAUCGAGUGGGAGAGACAAAGAGAUGGUUAUAGAUCAUAUUCUGACCUGUCACAUUGAGAUAAGUUCAGCUUGAUUGGCUCAAUCAGUAAGAAUGUAUGUAUGUUCAAAUAUAGACUUCUUACCUUCAGUUGGAAAAUGUUGGUGUGAAAUAGUGAACAGAGAGUUAACAUCAAGCUAAGUUACCAUCAUUAACAAUGAUCCAGCCCACAAUGCUUUGUGAAGCAUUUUUUAGCAAGUAACAUCAUUUUUUCUACCUCUUCCAAAAGACAAAGUUGGUGCUCAAAGGAAAAUAUUUUUUGUUGGUAGAUGAUGUGAAGUAAAAAGCCUUUCAGAAAAUUAUCAGUGGAAUUGCUUUGAACAUUGGCAGCAUCAUAUACAGCUGUGUAUCAACUCAGAAGGGAACUAUUUUGAAGGUGAUCGUAGCUGAUUUUCUUAAUUUGUUUAAUAAAGAGAUUUACAGGCACAGUCUCACUUUUUUUCUGUUGGACCUUGUAUAUCAACUACAUAGCCUUAAAGACAUGACACCUGUGACUUCUGUUUGUAUUUUUUACUGUACUAGAUUAAUCAAAUAACAUAGCAAGUUAUUUCUACCAGCUUUGUUCGCAGUUCCAUUAUCUACUCCAAAGACAACUACAGCUAAGUCUGAGGGGAUUCUAUGAAUAAACAUUUUUUUUAAUGAACUUAGUAAAAAUAUUUGUAAUAAGCAGUCUGCCUAUCAGAUCACCGCUUUCAGAAAAUAAUUACUGUUUUUCUUUUGUGUUCAAGAAUACACUAAGCAAGUGUCAGCUUGGAGAUUCGAUUCAUGUGAACAAAUUCAUUCACAACACAGAAUCAUGAGCUUUGCCUCUGUCUAACAAGUUCCCGAUCCUGCUAAGAAUGUGCCAUGUAACUGUGAGACAAAUCUUUCACAAAAUCAAUUGUCACACUUCACCCAUUUCUUGAAACUAGCAUUUUUUUCACUGACUUCCUGAAGCAAUUGGUAUAAUCCAUUUGGGAAGGCAAUUACGAUGCAAUAUAACUAAUGUUUUGCACUCUGAAGGUAUUAAUUAAAGUUUGUUUGCAUGUAUGCCUGCACAUAUGUGUAUAUUUUUACAAAGAACUAUUUUUUUCUAGUAGGAACUAUUUUUAUCUUUAACUGAAUGAAAAAAUAGUUCAUUUUGUUCUUCUUUUUUAUCCUCACCCCACCCCCUCCGCGCAAUGUAAUGUCUUUGAUAUAAGUAUACAAGCUAAGCAGAUAGUCUGUGAGCUAGUUGUCCUUCAGAGAUGUGAAAGAAUCCAUUCCUAGUCCAUAUCCCAGCACAGAGAAACACUCUGUGCCACCACUAUGGCAUAAUUCUGUGUCACUUAGAUCUUCUGUAGAAGUGAUACAUACUGGAUCUGUCAAGUGACAAAAUCACUGACUUUGACCUAAAUUUUCCAUAAAACAUGGCAUGUCAAGAGAACCCACACACACUGCAGUAACUCCUCCAAGCCUACUCUAUCUACUGCUGCUUAUUUUGGCUUUUCUUAGGAAAGCACAAGCUUAUUCACAGAAAGAACUAAUCACCCACAGAAAGGAAUGAUCACCUUUGUGAAAGUUUAUUUCCCUUUUAUGGCAGAGUUGGAAGAUUCUGACCUACUUUAAUUCACUCAUUGUGUAUCUACUUUGCUGGAAUUACUGCAAUUUGAUAUCUGCUCACAAUGCAUGUUUCAAGCCCUAAAGAUGACAAACUUUUGUUAUGUUGUCUCAUUAGAGUUCUGCUUUUGAUAGGAACAAUGGGCGACAUUUGAAAAUGAUGACAAUAUUAGUUUAUGAGUUCUUUAUUGUGGUCGUGAAAGCUACAGACCCUAAACAUUUUUUUCUAGUUAUGAAAUAAGAAACAAGAACACUGAAGUUACUGAAGAUAGGCCAGUUUAAAGAUAUUGCUAGAGAAAAAAUGACUAACCUUGAUGAGUUAUGUUGGUUCUAAGGGCAACCAGUUUUUCUUCUGUUUUGUUGGCAAUCUUGUUGGCUAACAUUUGAAACAAAAUGUAAUUGUCUUGACUGCAAAUACUUUCAAAUGAAAGAUAAUAGUCCAUUGAAAGACCUUCCUGAAAAAUAUGCUUAUAGAAUUGUGCAAUCAGAUCCCUUCUGUGUUUAUGUGCCUUUUAUUUCAGAUAUUCAUUUGCUAAAUCCUGGGACAUAAAUUCUAAGAGACUACUUUUUUUAUUUUGGAGUAUAUACAACUGAUAGCUAUCAAAUGCCAUCUUCUCAGACAAGCUGUUUUGAUAAUAAUACUUGGGAGAUGUGGUAUUCAGCAGCAAACAGUAUUGGUCAGUGUCUAUGUAUUUCUUAUUUCUCAUUUUAAGACCAUAAGCAAAUUAUUCAUU